GCAGCUGGGUGAGGAGGGGGGUCAAAUAAGGCAGACCGGUGAGGACAGGGAUCAGGGAUGGCAGGGCCACAUAUUUGGUGCCAACAUAGAAGUUUAAAGGGUGAGAAGCCGGUGGAUUCCUGAGGCACCUCGUGGUAUGAAAAGAGGAUAUGCGGCAUGAAUCUCUCCCAGUGUCUUCUUUGUGACUCCACAAAGGUGAUCAGAAUGGACUACUAUAUACUGUUCCUGUGCACACUGAGCAGACAUUUACUGUAGGGUACCCUGAGCACUCCAUUUCAUCGUAUAUAUGACUUGGGAGCCAGCACAUCCAAAGAUAGAGACACCAAAGUAUUCAUCCACGUGGCUUACCAAGAAGUGUAUCACUUUCGGACAUCUGGCUGCUGAGAAGAGGAUUUCUUUAGAGACGGGAGUGAUCUAGUGCGGUUUGUCUCGCCACCCUCUUUUCCUCUGGCAGAGAAAUGUGUCAAGAUAUAUAGAACUGUAUCCUGUGAACAUACAAAAGGUACUGUGACACGGCCAGCAUGAACAUACAUGGAAUAGAACAGGUGACAAAGAAUUCAGGCCAUGUUUUUGUUGUGGUGAAGUCUAAGUAACAGCAAGUCUGAUUGCAAACACCUGUCAGCUUAUUUUAAAAAGGUAUCAGAUAGAUGGAACAGGGCUCCUGAUGGUGAACUAGUCGCCCAGGUAUUUGGCCAGGGGGUGGUUACUACUGGGGGUCCUGGAACUUAGUGUUCUCUGGAGAAGUUACACCCUAUUUGCAAAAAGACCUGCUGUGAUCUGUUAUGUGACCUGUGACUUGUAACUGCUGACAUUCUGCUAAGAAUUGCCUGUCUGUGGAAAG